CCUACGGGGGGCAGCAGUGGGGAAUAUUGGACAAUGGGCGAAAGCCUGAUCCAGCCAUGCCGCGUGUGUGAAGAAGGCCUUCGGGUUGUAAAGCACUUUCAGUGGGGAAGAAAGCCUUGGGGCUAAUACCCUCGAGGAAGGACAUCACCCACAGAAGAAGCACCGGCUAACUCCGUGCCAGCAGCCGCGGUAAUACGGAGGGUGCGAGCGUUAAUCGGAAUUACUGGGCGUAAAGCGCGCGUAGGCGGUCUGAUAAGCCGGUUGUGAAAGCCCCGGGCUCAACCUGGGAACGGCAUCCGGAACUGUCAGGCUAGAGUGCAGGAGAGGAAGGUAGAAUUCCCGGUGUAGCGGUGAAAUGCGUAGAGAUCGGGAGGAAUACCAGUGGCGAAGGCGGCCUUCUGGACUGACACUGACGCGGAGGUGCGAAAGCGUGGGUAGCAAACAGGAUUAGAUACCCCAGUAGUC
rnacentral:rRNA from 1 species